AGCGGUAGACAGCAUCUCCCAGAUCAAAUCCCCACUACUUUUGUGGCCCAUGUUUAACCCUGCAGCAACAAUGUCUUUGGCAUAUAAGCAAAAUCCAUGCUGCAGAAUUGUUGAUGCCAUCUGCAACUGCUCAUUANNNNNNNNNNNAGCUGGAUGCUUCUGAUUCCUCAGAAAAAACCAUUGGCAAUCCAAAAGAAUCCAGUGAUUGGCACUUAGUAUGCAAUAGUUCAGCUUCUGAAAUUAGAUUGC
rnacentral:misc_RNA from 1 species